CUGAGGAAAAUCCAUCCAGGAAGUGCUUUUAUUUUGAAAUGCCUGUUUUUCCAUACAAAGACUUAUGACGCAGUUCACGAUCCCUAUGGCUUCCACUACAUGUGGCCAGUCUUUAGGCAAUGUUUCAGGCUUUUACUCUGAAAAAUAAGGGAGAAAACCCACUUUCAAUGAGAGGACAGUGGAAAUUUCCAGACACGAGUCCAGCGUGUGACUGGGAGCGCACCUUUCUUGUUUGUCCUUUUCUACUGAUGAAGCUAUUGUCCGGUUUAAAUUUGAUCGAUUAUUUAUGACAAAAACAACCUGAGGAUUGAUUAUAAACAGCGUUUGACAUGUUUCUACGAACUUUUAUGGUACUUUUUUGAUUUUUCGUCUGUCUGUUGUGACCACGUUUUGUUCCAAUGGAUUACUGAACAAAACGCACGAACAAACGGAGGUUUUAGAAUAUAAAGAGGGACUUGAUUGAACAAAACGAACAUUUAUUGGGUAACUGGGAGUUUUGUGAGUGUAACCAUAUGAAGAUCAUCAAGGUCGUUACAGAAUCCCCCACCAACAACGGACCAAGCAGCGGAGGAAGGAGCAGCGCCAGGAGGAGCAAGAAUCCUGGACCAGGGAGAGAAAAGACUGGACAUGGGAGGACAUCCUGGAAGGCAAGGGAUCCUACACUUGGGAGGAGAUCCUGGUCGGAAGGGAUCGCCUCACAUGGGAACAGGUAGAGGCACUCAGAAGAGUGGAGGCAGCAGGAAAAAAGGACCAAAUGUAUGAGGGAACACGGCUGGGUAGGAAGCCCGAGAGGCACACGGGGAGUGUGGCAGAGUCAGGUUGGAGACCUGAGCCAGCUCCCCGUGCUUACAGGAGGCAGCGCAGUACUGGUCAGACACCGUGUUAUGCGGUAAAGCGCACGGUGUCCCCAGUACGCGUGCAGAGCCCGGUGCGCUACAUCCCAGCUCCUAACAUCUGCCGGGGGAGGUUGGGCAUCGAGCCAGGGCAGGUUGUGCAGGCCGUGCGCUCUAGACCUCCAGUGCGUCUUCUGGACCCGGUCCGUCCUGUGCCUCCUCCUAGGACUAGGCCUCCAGUGGGUCUCCCUAUCCUGGUCUGUCCUGUG
rnacentral:lncRNA from 1 species